rnacentral:rRNA from 1 species
GACGAACGCUGGCGGCGUGCUUAACACAUGCAAGUCGAACGGAAAGGCCCUGCUUGCAGGGUGCUCGAGUGGCGAACGGGUGAGUAACACGUGGGUGAUCCGCCCCUUACUUUGGGAUAAGCCUGGAAACUGGGUCUAAUACUGGAUAGGACCAUGCUGUAGGUGGUGUGGUGGAAAGAUUAGUUUCGGUAAGGGAUGAGCUCGCGGCCUAUCAGCUUGUUGGUGGGGUAAUGGCCUACCAAGGCGUCGACGGGUAGCCGGCCUGAGAGGGUGGACGGCCACAUUGGGACUGAGAUACGGCCCAGACUCCUACGGGAGGCAGCAGUGGGGAAUAUUGCACAAUGGGCGCAAGCCUGAUGCAGCGACGCCGCGUGGGGGAUGACGGCCUUCGGGUUGUAAACUCCUUUCAGCCAUGACGAAGCCCUUGUGGUGACGGUAGUGGUAGAAGAAGCACCGGCUAACUACGUG